UACUACUACUACACUACUACUACUACUACUACUACUACUACUACUACUACUACUACUACUACUACCACUACUACUACUACUACCACUACUACUACUACUAUUACUACUACUACUUUACGUUUAAGACUAUGUUCGACAUUGACAAAUAAACGCACUUUAUUGGUAAGUUCCUUUUUUUUUGUCGACAGUUUAAAUGACGAAAACAACGUGGAUUAUAAGUUAAAAGAAAUAGUGUAGAUCAAGGGGUCGGAACUUGAUGUAUCUCGUGUCUCGUUCCAAGAUAUUAAAAUGAUUCAAUAUUCGACCUCGGUCAGGGAUCACGCGUGUAGGUGUGACAUCGGUCUUUACGAUGCAUGUAUCAUAUAUCAUGAAGCGACUGUAUUCACAUCGUACGUGAAAUAAUUCUGGGAGAAAUUUCUGGAGCCUUAAGCUUCUUGUAUACUUUUCGAAGCUUUGCCACGCGUUCUUCGUCACGCGCUACCGAGGAAGAGAAAGAAGAGAAACUUUGUGUAAGCUGUAACUAUUGACUUUCGUUUUUCCUUUUAGUAGGAAGUCAAAAGAGACAGAGGAAAAAUAACUAAGAAAAAGAAAAAGUUUCUAACCGUUUGUCGGUCAAAUUUCUACGAAUUAUAUGAUCGACGAUCCUGAAUGGAUUUUAUUUUUUAGAACGGCUUUGUUGUAAUGUAUCUCUUUUCAAAGUUCACACAUUAUACGAGUUCUUUCCUAGAUCACGAUGAACAUAAAUUCCUAAGUCCAUUUACACGCACGAUACGGAUGCACGAUUUAUUAUGAAUUAUAGGAAUUCGACGAUGUUCUUAGGAGAAAUCGAAGAACUACGAGUACAACAACGAUGUGAACGACGAUGACGACGAAGACGAUGACGACGAAGACGACGACGAAGACGAAGACGAAGACGUCGACAACAACGAUAACGACAACGAAGACGAAGACGAUCGAAACUGGAAAGCUUCGUCGAGAUGGAAAGAUCGUCGCAUGGACAACUGAGACGUGUAACUUCUACUAGAAAACAUGUAAAUCCUGUAAAAAGUUUUCUAAUCUCGAUCGUCUCACGAUCGUUAAAAAUCGGGACAAUAUUUUUUCAAUCCGGAUAUUGCUCGAUAUUUAAUUUAGUUAGAUAUUAGUUUUAUCAACGUAUUUUCUCAAUAUUUUGAGAUAGAGAAAUAGAAGAAAAAGCGAGAAGAUCAAAGAUUUCAUUCAGUUUAUACAAUUGUUCUUAGACAAGUUCAAGAUUUUGAUGGUAUUACGAGAAGUUGUGAAACUUACGUUUAUCGUAAUCGAAUAUACGAAUUACAUGGAAUACAUCUCGGGAAAAAUUAUAGUAAAAGUGAUAAUCGCUCGAUCUAACUAUCGUGCGAUGGUCCAAAACGGCCUCGUUGAUGCGUCUCGCCGCUAGUAGUUCGAACUUUUCGAAUAAUUCGUAAAAAGCUGAGGAGGGACAAACAAGUCCAUAAAGAGUGUGCUUUCUCUGCGUUUCCUUUUCUGUGCUUUCACGAUUCCUUCCUUUUUGAUUUUCUCUCUCUCUCUCUCUCUAUCUCUGUCUCUGUCUGUCUCUCUCUCUCUUUUCGUUUUAUUCAGAGUUUCUCCUUUCGAUCAGUCUUUUAGUCGAAGUUUAACGUUGGUUCGAGGUGCGAUAGAUUGAGAACGUAGAAACCACGAUAUAACUUGAAUUCGUACUCUCGAACGUUAUCGAUUUCUUUCCCAAAUAUUUCUUCUUUUCGUAUUUUUGAAAAACAUUCUGGGCCUUAUCACUUGAUACAAUUUUAACUUACGCACGAAAAAAUAUAUCCUUUUUCUUUCUAUAAUCGAGAUCAAUUUUUAUUACAUUCUCUUUUGUUUUUAUUCGAUUUUUCUUCAUCUUCCGACGAUAAUAACGGAGUUAUUAUUGUGUUCUCCUGUACAUAUUUCUCUCUCUUUCUCUCUCUCUCUCUCUAUUCUAUUCUAUUCUAUUCUAUCUUCUUCUUAUCUAAAAAAUUAUUUUCUCGCUCGAGGAAGAAUUCGCGGAAGAAGGGUUGGUUUCUCUCGGGAUACGAAGAAAUCUUGAAAACUACUUGCCGUAAUUCUUUGAAAAAAAAGAGGAUGGAGAGAGAGAGAGGAAGAAAAAGAGAAAAAAAGGAAAGGUUGCACUCUUCAGCCGAUCUGGCAAUUAGUCACGAUUAAUUCCUCAAAAAUGAGAAGGGACGUGCACGUGUCUGCGGUAGGUAAGGAUACACGGGUUGAAUCCUCUGAGAGUCGAAUAAUAGGAGGCUAAAGGCUAACCACACACGAGGCCAUCACCAGAAUAGUCUACCUUCCUCUUUCGUUCUCUCUCUCUCUCAUACACAUACGUAUACAUACACAUACACGUCGUCUCUUUUCUAUCAUCGUACACGGUAUUUGAUUUACACGCUAGUAUGCGUGCUUCAUUGGCACGCCAAUAUGAUACGUGGCAGUGCACUUUAAUGCCACGACGCGGCCUACUUAGCGGUCGGCUUGAUUAACAUGGAGUGAUUAAUAGUCCGCUCCCUCUCGUCCAUAAGCAACCCUAUGGCAGAACAGCCGCAAUGCCGCCAUUGGAGAUCUAAUCGCACGAUAUUUAUUGCCUUACGCGUCGUCCACCGUACGUAGAAAGAGAAAGAGUGAGAGAGAUACAGAAAGAGAGAGAAGGUCCCUAGCAGUCUUUUUUUUGGCCACACCGAUUUUGCGAAUCUCUUCUCGGUCUUUUUCAUUUUUUUCUUCUCCCUUCUUUUCAUUUUACGACGGACCUUCCAUGAUCUUCGGAACGAUCUUAACUACCCCUUUCGAAUCGGUGAAAUCGUGGUAAGAAAGAUGAAAAAUCAUAGCAAGUUCGGAGAUAAAUAUUUGUUAUCAAUUAAUCGGUUUCUUUUUUCAUAUUUUUCUUUUUUUAUUUAUUUAUUUAUUUAUUUAUUUAUGUAUUUAUUUAUUUAAUUUUUUUUCCUUUUCUUUUUUUUAACGAAUACACGCUUUUCCUUUAUACGUACGUACACGUUGUUACGUGUGCAAGGUACCGUACAGACGUUGAAACUUUGCGUCUCGUGAUAAAAUUAGAUUUGUUCGAGCGAGAAGAGGCCGUCGACUGUGCUUCCUGUAAAUUCGGGAUAAUACCGACGUUGGCUUUCGCACGGGAGACACAUCGUCUCCCAUUUACUCCCCCUUUAACGUGUUGCGUCAGCGUAACGUUGGCGCCGCAUUCGUCUGUCGAAAGAUCUUUAGCCUUGUUUACAGUUCCAACUCUCUGGCGAUCCACGAUUAUAUCGACUUCUCGAUGCACCAACGGAUCAGGUCGUGGACCUGGAAAGAAAAGAGAAAACAGAUGAUACGAAGUUUCUCUCGGUACGAUCGGAUCGAACUCUUUACGAAUUCGUCAAUUAUUAUUUUCGAACUAGUAGAUUAAGUACUUCAAAUGUAUUUGUACGUAUAUUAAUUCGAUUACUCGACAGAAACUCGUGAAUCAUGAUAAUAAUAAAGCGUAUUACGAUGAUAUUAGAACGUGUCUCUCUGACGCACGAUCCGAUGACGUAAAGGAAAAAGCGAUUCUGGCAUGUUACGAUAACAAUAGUUGGAAUUUUUCACCGUUUCUUCUUCGAGCCACUAUGUCGUCCCCCUUCUUCAGCUCCCUACCUCACUCCAUCUCACUCCCGAUUCGUUCUUUCAUCAUUUCAUCUCUUUCUCAUUUAUAAAAAUGAUUUAUAAAUAUCGCUUCGUUAUACAUAGUUCGAGAGAAAAUGAUACGUCGAACGUUGUUGGAUCGGAUUAAAUUUGGCAUCGUUCAAUUCUAUAUUUCUCAUCGUUAAAUUCACGUGUGUAAAAGAUUCGUAUGUGUACGAUAGAAUUCAUUCCGGGAACGUUCAUUAGAAAUGUAUGCUUUGACCGACCUUUGAUAUCAGUAGGGUCAAUAGGGUGAGAAGAAAUUCUAUAUAAAAACGUUUCGUUGAUUUUUAGGGAAAUGAUUAGGUAUCUUUUUUCUUUUUUUUUUUUCGUUGAAUCGAGAGAAACGAAUAAUUUUGUUCUCGUUCUUGCGAAUUAUCGACAAAAUAUCUUUUAUUAGACACGUGUUAUAGUUUAUGGAGAAAAAGUGUAUGGUAUUGGAUAUAUGGUAAACAUCAGAGGUAUACUUCGUUCGUUGUUAAGUCGAAUCAUUCUCGAAGGAAUAGAAAAUAAGAAAGAGGAGGAGGUAUAUGAAAGAAUCGAGCUCUCGUAAUACUAUCGAAGCUUAUCGAAGGCGGUACCAAACGCGACUGGCGGUAGCCCGAGGCCACUUAUUUAACAUCGACGUCGAUAGAGUCGUUGCACGUUCCUGUCGUUGGAUAGUCGUCGUUUUCUGCUUACUUUAUUUAUGCGUUCCGUGACUUCUUAGACAAUGCGACGAUAAUUAAGACGUUCUACGUAAUUAACGAUUAGCCGUGAGUUAUAUUAAUAAUACGCGUGAAUUCUCACUAGGCUAUGUGUAAUAUAAGAGAAACGUUUACCGACUCUUGAUGAUAACGUUGUGUCGGUGAAAUGUAUCAAAAAAUUUGUUUUUAAUGUGCCAGCGUUCUUUCCUCGCGAUCAGUAAUCAUGUUUUUCUCGUUGGAAUAAGAACAAGACGAAGAUAGUUUCGUGUAGCGUAUAUGCGUAUAAUUUUCUUCUGACAAUAUUCUUUCGGUGAUGUAAACAAACAAGGUGCAAGAUAUUUCUCGGGAGUGCUAGGAUAUCAGGACGUUCGAGCAGUCUAGUCGGAGCCUUCGUCCUGUAAACAUCAAGUUACACAAGGGAGAAACAAAGAGCAACGUUCCGUUUAACAUCCUUUUUUACAUCUUAUAUUAUCGACUAAAUUUAAGGGAAUUAAUAUCGAUUACGAUUACUAUUAAGGUUAGUUAGCGUUCAUUACUAUUAUCUUCAAGCUACAUUACGAAUAAUUCUAUAAUAAUCUUAAGGGAUCAAACGAACAAACAUCUUCAAGAGAGAUUUAUAUUCUCGUCGUUGUAUUUUUAGAUCGUUAAUAUUAACGUAAAUUAAGUCAACUUACGGGUACUUCAAUAUACAUAUAUCACAAAUAUUAUCUAUUAUACUUUGAGAA